rnacentral:rRNA from 1 species
UACGUAGGUCCCGAGCGUUGUCCGGAUUUAUUGGGCGUAAAGCGAGCGCAGGUGGUGUAAUAAGUCUGAUGUAAAAGGCAGUGGCUCAACCAUUGUGUGCAUUGGAAACUGUUAGACUUGAGUGCAGUAGAGGAGAGUGGAAUUCCAUGUGUAGCGGUGAAAUGCGUAGAUAUAUGGAGGAACACCGGUGGCGAAAGCGGCUCUCUGGACUGUCACUGACACUGAGGCUCGAAAGCGUGGGUAGCAAACAGG